CCUCCUGCCAUCAGUGCCAGUAAGUUACUUCUGAGGCUCGGACAUCCUUCAGCCUGAAGACCUUUAGUCAUAACAAACACUUCUGGUCACUGGGAGUAAAAGACCUGAGAAGAACAACCAAGAGCAGGAAAAGCUUAUUUUAGUUCAUGGUUUCAGAGGUUCAGUCCAUGGACGGCCGACUCCAUGGCUCUGAGCCCGAGGAGAGGCAGAACAUCAUGGCGGAAGGGUGUGGUGGAGGAGAGCAGCUCAGGACCCGACAGCCAGGAAGCAGACAGAGAGAGAGCCCUGCUCACCAGGGACAAAAUUUGAACCCCAAAGUCAUGCCCCCAGUGACCUGCAUCCUCCAGCCACACCCAGCUGCCCAUAGUCACCAUCUACAGCAGUUUUUCCAAGUUAUUAAGCCACCAAUGGAUUAAUUCACUGAUUAGAUUACGAUGAUCACCAUCUCAUCAGCCUCGUUUACCUCACGAGGAAACUCCCCCGUCCCGAGGGAGACUGCACAGGUGGCAGGUGACAACAAAACUUGGCCACUUCCAGGUCACCUCAACCCAUCACGGAACUGUUCCCAGUGAACCUGAAGUCUUCACCUCUGUGGCCAAUGGACACUCAGCCACGUUCUCCCCAG
rnacentral:lncRNA from 1 species